rnacentral:rRNA from 1 species
UACGUAGGGGGCAAGCGUUAUCCGGAAUUACUGGGUGUAAAGGGUGAGUAGGCGGCAUGGUAAGCCAGAUGUGAAAGCCUUGGGCUUAACCCGAGGAUUGCAUUUGGAACUAUCAAGCUAGAGUACAGGAGAGGAAAGCGGAAUUCCUAGUGUAGCGGUGAAAUGCGUAGAUAUUAGGAAGAACACCAGUGGCGAAGGCGGCUUUCUGGACUGAAACUGACGCUGAGGCA